GAUAGCUCAGCCAGUAGAGCAUAAGAUUCUUAAUCACAUGGUCAUGGGUUCAAGCCCAAUGUUGGACA